GGUGGCUCUGUGGUAGAGCGCUUGCCUUGAAUGCAUGAGGCCCUGGUUCGAUUCCUCAGCACCA
rnacentral:tRNA from 1 species